rnacentral:rRNA from 1 species
UGGGGAAUCUUGGACAAUGGGCGCAAGCCUGAUCCAGCCAUGCCGCGUGAGUGAAGAAGGCCUUCGGGUUGUAAAGCUCUUUUUGCCGGGGACGAUAAUGACGGUACCCGGAGAAUAAGUCCCGGCUAACUUCGUGCCAGCAGCCGCGGUAAUACGAAGGGGACUAGCGUUGUUCGGAAUCACUGGGCGUAAAGCGCACGUAGGCGGAUUUGUAAGUCAGGGGUGAAAUCCCGGGGCUCAACCUCGGAACUGCCUUUGAUACUGCGGAUCUCGAGUCCGAUAGAGGUGAGUGGAAUUCCUAGUGUAGAGGUGAAAUUCGUAGAUAUUAGGAAGAACACCGGUGGCGAAGGCGGCUCACUGGAUCGGUACUGACGCUGAGGUGCGAAAGCGUGGGGAGCAAACAGGAUUAGAUACCCGCGUAGUCCCUGAGCGGGCUGGCAAGGCGCAU